UUAAAGCUGCAAGCAGCAUUUACCGGGGUUCAAGCACAUUAAGGCCUCUGAGGUGGUCUGAGCCAACCUGGAUGCAUGGAUGACAUUUAAACACAUCCAAAAUGGAGAACAGGCUAACAGACAGACACACACACUGAAAGUAAAUGAUUAGACUAAUAUAUGUAUACUCUAUAAGCAUAUGCACACACACACACACACACACACACACAGAAAGACACACAUAUACAUGCACAAACAUUUUGUUGCAGAUAUAGGUAUUUGAAAUAAGUGAUAGGUGACAAUAAACUUAUUGCAAGUCUUCUCUUUUUAAGAGUUUAGAUGUCAUUUUCAGGUUAAACUGUAAUCAUAAUGUGGCAAAAUUUUAAAAACUGAUAUAUCUGUAUGAUCAAAAUGGAAAACAUUGACUCAAUGAGAUUUAAAAUGUUAUAACAGUUCAUUUUUUAAUGUUUUGGCAUGAAUUCAUGAAUCCUUUCAACAGUACUGUUCAACUUUACUGAAUGAGCCCAUUAGUGGUCUUCCGCUGCCAUCUAGUGGUUAUAAAUUGCAUUUACUCCAACAACACUGUGUUUUUAAACAUAACUGUUAUAGUGUUAUUUUUUUUUUGCCCAAUCUCUCUUAAAUUUUGCAUGCUUGUUUAGAAUGAAAUUAUGCAUUAUUUUACACAGUUUUGAUAAUUUGUGGGCUUUCUGUUUGUAUUAAUAGGCCUUUGUGUGCACUAUGAAAAGAACAUAUUAGAAAAUGACUGGUUUAUAGUUGCCCAAAUGCAAUUGUUCAACAUGUUUUUGAUAAUUAUGGACCUUCAGAGUCUAGAGAAUUGUACUUCAGUGGUUUUAUUGAUUUUCAGCUUAAACCGUAUCACAAGUAUGCCAAAGUAACUUUUUAAAAUAAUCUUGAAUAUUUAAUUAACAGCUUUAUUGACAACAUUGGUCCCAGAGGCAAAGUUGUUCAGAAUGAGGAGAUUUAUCACAUGAUAUGAAGAUUUAGUGUUUUUGAGUGAAUAUAUGAACAUUUUCAAACAAUUUGAGGCCAUUUACCAUAUAAAUCUUGUGUUUUGAGACCUUUUCUACUGUUAUAGCGCCACCUAUGGUCUGAUCUCCAUGAAACUUUGCAUGCUUGUUAAGAGUCACCUGUUACAUGAUUUCACUUAGUUUCAUAAAGUUUUGAGUUUUCCUUUAGGUUUUAUAGGCUUUGGGGUAUGUUUGGCCACACCCCUUUUUCUAAAUUACCCCGUUACAGCUAACCAAAGGACAAAAUUCAACAUUUUUUUAAUAAUUAUUGAUCUAGAGAGUCCACAGAAUAUUACUGCAGUGGUUUGGUUCCGAUCGGGCAAAAAACCUAGGACUAGUUCGCAAAAGUAUAUUUUUAACAUAUUUGUGAAUAACAAUUGAACGAUUUGAUUGACAGCAAUGGUUCUUGAGGCAAAGUUGUGCAUUACGAGGAGAUCUAUCAAAUGAUAUGCAUAUUGUGUUGAUAUGUGAAACACCACGUGAUUACAGAGCCAUAAAACUCGUUAGCGCCAACUAGUGGCCGAUUUCUUUCAAAAUUCUUACAGACCUUAAGGUUCAUGAGUCGAACGUACCCAGCGAGUUUCGUUCCGAUCAACAUCCGUUAACCCUUUCAAAUAGGUGCUUAAAAUUGUUUGGCCAAUGGCGGCCAUGUUUUUUGAGAUAUGCAAAUGUCCUCAUAGGUACUUGUGCCCCUUCAGACCAAGACACUGCAUACCGAUUUUCAAGUCGAUCGAGCCAACGGUUGCCUAGUUAUAGCCAUUUAUGUGUUUUUUCUAUCUUAUUGCGCCCCCAAGUGGCAGAGAUGAGCAAUUUUUUUGAUUUGACCAAAGAUUGAGCUCAUACAUAUGUGUACCGAGUUUGGUGAAGAUAUCUCAUUCCGUUCAAGAGUUAUAGUUAAAAUAGCAUUUGGCUAACGUCAGCAUAGACGCUUUUUGGCAUACUGUUUCGCGUAAGAAUUGAAAUUUCAACUUUUUUUUGAUAAUUAUUGAUAUUGAGUGUCCAGGGAAUAUUUCUGAAGUGGUUUGGUUCUGAUUGGUUGAAAAUCCUAGGACUAGUUCGCAAAAGUAGGUUUCGGAUAUAGCUCGAUUUUGCGCGAAAACGGUGCCUCGUAGAGCAAAAAAUGCAGCUGUGCACUUUUGUUCGGACUAACCCAAGGAUUGCAACGAUGCCAUGUUUUUGAGUCUACGGCUAACGGUUUACGAUCUGCGGCCAAAAAUGUCAAAAAUUUUAGUUUUUUGCGCAGUAGCGCCCCCAUUAGGCCGAUUGGGCCGGUUUUUUGUAUCUGAGUAGCGAGCAGGACUACUACCAUCUGACCAAGUUUCAGCUCUCUAGGCCUUACGGUUUGGGCUGCACGUUCAGUUUUAAGGCGGAAAAAUAAUAAUAAUAAUAAAAAUCUUA